ACUGCGUAGCAGCAAACAUUGUCGUACAGCUGAACAAACUUCGUUACAAGGAUGCUAAAGGCGAUCCAAAGGGUUUUGUAACCUUUUUGGACCAACAUGAGUUGCCCAGAGGAUUGCUACCACGCUAUUGAGGGAACAGACUACAUAUACUUUUUCACACAUGUGGUAUUUUGAUCUAUCAUUAUGCCAUAUUGAAGAUAUUUCUGUGUUCUGGCUUGGCGUUAUGUGGAGGUCUGCGAAAUAGUUUGUUUCAAGACUUUACAUCUGAAAUAGGUAUCCGUGAGUUGUGUGUUUUAGCUUUAAUUGGAAAGCUACUUUCUGGCCCUUGGAUGACAAAAUUUUAUAUUGCACCAGAUACAGGACUUGACUAUA